AGACCAUGGCGGAGGCCUAACACAUGCAAGUCGAGCGCUCACUUCGGUGGGAGCGGCGGACGGGUUAGUAACGCGUGGGAACGUGCCCAGAUCUAAGGAAUAGCCACUGGAAACGGUGAGUAAUACCUUAUACGCCCUUCGGGGGAAAGAUUUAUCGGAUUUGGAUCGGCCCGCGUUAGAUUAGAUAGUUGGUGGGGUAAUGGCCUACCAAGUCUACGAUCUAUAGCUGGUUUUAGAGGAUGAUCAGCAACACUGGGACUGAGACACGGCCCUGACUCCUACGGGAGGCAGCAGUGGGGAAUCUUGGACAAUGGGGGCAACCCUGAUCCAGCCAUGCCGCGUGAGUGAUGAGGGCCUUAGGGUCGUAAAGCUCUUUCGCCAGGGAUGAUAAUGACAGUACCUGGUAAAGAAACCCCGGCUAACUCCGUGCCAGCAGCCGCGGUAAUACGGAGGGGGUUAGCGUUGUUCGGAAUUACUGGGCGUAAAGCGCGCGUAGGCGGAUUGGAAAGUUGGGGGUGAAAUCCCGGGGUUCAACCCCGGAACUGCCUCCAAAACUAUCAGUCUAGAGUUCGAGAGAGGUGAGUGGAAUUCCGGGUGUAGAGGUGAAAUUCGCAGAUAUUCGGAGGAACACCAGUGGCGAAGGCGGCUCACUGGCUCGAUACUGACGCUGAGGUGCGAAAGUGUGGGGAGCAAACAGGAUUAGAUACCCUGGUAGUCCACACCGUAAACGAUGAAUGCCAGUCGUCGGCAAGCAUGCUUGUCGGUGACACACCUAACGGAUUAAGCAUUCCCGCCUGGGGAGUACGGUCGCAAGAUUAAAACUCAAAUGAAUUGACGGAAGGGCGAA
rnacentral:rRNA from 1 species